UGGACCCCUAGCCUGGGAACCUCCAUAUGCCAGACAUGCAGCACUAAAAAGCAAAUAAAAAAUAAAUACUGUUCAAGUUAGCUUGAAGACAAGAUUGGCAAUAAACAUUUUGGUUUGACAGAUUUUCUUGUACACCUACUGUGUGCCAGGAAUGUAUUCUGCCAUCGAGCUGCCUCUCAGUUUCCAGGGCCAGGUGGAUAUUUGGAAAGAGAAAGCACGAGCCUAGAGCAUGAACGUGCAGUGUGCCAAGGGGUGUGGGAGCUGGAACCAGAACAGGAAGGAGGAUGGGAGAACAGCUCCCAGCUCCUCCUUCAUUUUUCACUCUUGAGCUCGAGUAUUGUCAAUAGAAGGUAAGGGUUACCCUGGCUUUCUUUUCUCUUAAAUUGAAAUGUGGGGAGGCCUCCUUUCUGUCUACCCUUGAUGUUAUAUCCUUCUUGGACAUGAUGAAAAGACACUGAACCACGGGUUCACGCCUAUUUGCUCAUCUGAAAUUGGGACACUGUGCAGUUCUGCAUGCCCCAUCUUAGCCAAAGUAAAGGGACUUUCUGCUUGACUCUUCUCCAGCACAAGCAGCAGUGGGUCAAAAUAAACAACCCUGGAAUCCAAACGCUGGCUCCUCCCACCAAAAAGGCAAAAUACUUCCUCUUUAAUUGAUGCAGGCCCUCAGUGUGCAGGUCACAGCGCUGCCCAUCUUCAGAGUGCGCCCACCUGCACUGGAGCAAGGUGGUGACCAGGUGGAGAAAUCCUGGUGCCCAGAGACACACGCUGCAGGAGGCCUGGCUUGAGAGCUUUUCAUCAGGGAUACUUUUAAAAAUAUCUUGUAAGUGAAGUUGGCUUUUCUUGCUUCACAGGCCUUGAUCCUGCCAGCAGGCAGCCGCCACCCCCCCUCGUUGUGUCCAUUCUCGGCGGGGGGCCGGAUCUCCAUCCGCUCUGGGCCGCGGGGGACGAAAAGGUUGAACAGCGCACCCCCAAGCCUAGAGAAGCCCAGAGCCGGGCGGGGUCGGCCGGCCACCCGCGGACACUUCCUCCAAGCCCUGCUGACCUCUAGUGGUCACGCCGUGGAACUGACAGGACCUGGGCCAGAGAGGGAAGCCAGGGUGUGUCUGGAGCCUGGGAGUUCUCACCCUUGCUUUGCACAUUAGAUUCACGUGGGACCUUUGAAAACACCCCUGGCCAGGUCCCACCGCAGGCCGGUGAAGUCAGAAUCUCUGACGAUGAAACGUCGACGUUGGUAUUUUUUUAAAGCUCCCCAGGUCAUUUUAAUGUGCAGCCUUGGUCAGACUCGGGCAUUUGCUCGUGUGUGCCAGAGCAGGGGGCUGUGAUGUCAGCAUCUGAAUGCGGCUGAAAAUGUCUGUCUUCCAGUGUGUCUCUGAAUUAGUGAGUACCCCCCCCCCAACCCGCUGCGACAGCGUGUCUCUGCUCCUGGUCCUGACUGCGCUGAGGAUCCUGUGCCGGAGUGUGUGGCUGAGCCGAGAUCAGACCCCAGGGAAAGACGCAAGGAGCAAGGGUCCUGUCAGAAGAGUUUUACAGCCUUUCCCCCAUUCAGAGAGUUCACACUCUGCUCCUGGGAAGUUCUCCUGUUGUCUCACCUCAGUCCCUUCUCAAAAAAAGUCUUGAUUGACAAAAUGCCAGCUUACCCAUCAGCACUGGUAGCAGCCCCAGGGUAGGUAGGGCUGCAGUGCCCCAGGCUCCCUGGAGGGGCUGAGCUGGUUCUCUUCAGGCUUCGCCCUCCAUCAGGAGCUAGAGAAAUGGGCUGGAAGAGAGAAGAGCCAGCACCAGUACAAUUAAAUUAAUUUCCAGCAGCUGCAUGGGAUUAAAAUGACCCACUUCUAACUGGUCUCUAAUGUUCCUGAAAACAAUCUUCUUAUCCUCCACUUCUACUCUUUCUCUUCCUCAGAAUCUCAGCUUUGGGGAAAUGUACUCCGCAUGCUUUGCACUCCUUCCCUGUAGGCGUGGGCCAGAGGGCACAGCCCUGGUGAGAGCCACCCCAGGGAACAUCUCCAUCCAGGCCAAGGAACCAUUUGGGAGAAGGUAAGUCAUUAAGUUGUCCGUGGAACCCAGACUGGAUAGUGCCCAUUUCAGAGCAAAGCCAUGGCUGAGAAGAGGGGAGCCCCUCGCACCUGAGCACUGGCUCCUUGCACACUGGAGAAUCAGCAGGGAGUUCCUCCUCUAUCUAAUUUUUGCUGUAGCCACCAGGCACUGCCUUGCACAUUCGCAUCCAGAGGAUAAGCAAUAGCGGGAUGCUUUGCCCUCCCGCGAUGACCUUCUCAGACGGGCCCUCCGAGGCACAUCUCUCCAUCCUCCUGAGGUGUCACUUCCUGCUGUGGCCACCCCGAUGCCCACCUUCCACAUGGGAGGACUGGCAAGGCCCGGGGGCAGCAGAAUGUCUUCGUGUCACAAGUCAACACUGGCAUAUAUACGUCACUUCCCUAUUUCUGCUGAAAACACCCACUGCAGAUAGAACUGGGAGACGAAGCCCCGAGACAGGGUUCGAGCAGAGAAGGCAGCCGCACCAGGCGGCUGAACUGCAACAGAGCAUGAGGGCCAGGGAAUCAUGGGAGAAUCCCGACUAUAUCCCUCACCCCAUGGGCAGCUCACCCCCUCACCUUGGGCGGUGCUGGCUGUAGUUGGCCUCAUACCACGAAAGUAGAGAAGUAAGAGGGGGGACCAUGGAAGUGAAAACAACCCCCAAAGAGCGGAGAGGAAGAUGAGUAAAAAUCCUAGCUGAUGGGAAUAUUGACUUAACCAUUAUGGGAGUAAAUAAAACUCCCAUUUAUGUUAUGCAAGUGCUCUAUUCUUUGAGUUCUUCUGUCUGGAGGAAUUUUUAUUUCGCCAUAGAAGAAAAAUGUUUUCAUAUUCUCUCCCGCCGCUUCAGACCCAGAACCCAGCGAGGCCGUGUGCCCCCGAGAGCCAUAAUAUUAUUUGUUAACAUUUUUAUGAUGCCAAAUGGUCUGUAGGAGAACGGGCGCCAUUCUUUAGCUGGGAAACCAUAUGGCACGACGAGUAAUAAAUAAGGUAUUGUGAUAGUUAAUGAACCUAAUUGCCAGCAAAGGCUUUAAUACAGAGACUGUGCUGCUGAGAAUUUAGCACCACAUUAGGGAUGCCGCGGAGCUCCCCUGACUUCUGAGGCUUAAUUUAAGUUCUAUAUUGCAAACUCCAGAAAAUAAUUCCAAACCCUCCUGCUGGAAAAGCAACCUGCUGGUAGACUGUGAUUAUACCGAAUUACUAAAAUCGCAAUCAAUUUUCUACACACGGUUAACCCUUGCCAGGAAGGACUCACGGGGAGGAGAGGGAUCAGGACGGCAGCCCGUUCUACCUGUGGCUCCGUAUUGAGGACAGCGAGAGGCAGGAAAGGAGUGGUGCCUGAAGAAAGGGACCAGAGCCAGCUCCAGACCAUGCAAGGAGAAAAGAGAAACACAAAUGCUCUCCCUGGUAAGCAAUUGACAGAACGCAGAGAUUCCACUUAAACAGCAAGCAAGAUGGAGAGGUGAAAGGAGUGGGCGUUGACCAGCCCAAGGGCACAGAUGGCACACCUGAGGCAUGGAGGAACUGAGUGACUUGGCUCAGACCACACAGGCAGACAAUGCGUGAGCCUGGAUUGGAACCUGGGUGGUUUGGCUCCAAAGUAUAGACCCUUGACCUCUUCUUUGUUGUGCAGCCCCACCCCCACCCACCUUCCACUGCAACUGCCUCCGCUGGCUUCGGAACCCCCAGUCCCAUGUCCUCCAGUUCCGUGGCCCUGAUCACCAGUGUUCGUGUGACAUGCAGAGCUUUGUAGGAAAUGAAAUGGCCAGAAAAUGACGGUGGUGUCAGAGCGCUCUUAGAGAGGACCAGGGACAGAGACUAUGACCCUGGAGACUGUGGGGUGUAGCAACAAGCAUCAGGACUUGGAGCAGAAGACCCAGCUCCUCCACCUGCCACCUGAGUGACCGGGGCAAGUGCUUUAGGCUGAAUAUUCGUGACCCCCAAGUUCGUACAUUGAAGCCUAACUCCUGAGAUGCUUUUUGGAAGUGGGGCUGCUGGGAGGUCAUUAGGCCAUGAAGGUGGAGACCUCACGAAUGGGAUUAGUGCCCUCGUAAGAAGAGACGUGAGAGAUACGAUCCCUCUCUUGGCCUGGUGAGGACAGCCAAGAGACUGGAUCUGCUGGGGACUUGACCUGGCCUUCCCAAGCUCCUAGAACUCGGAAAAUCAAAUUGUCGUUUAAGCCACUCCAUCCGUGGGAGUUUUGUUAUGGAAGCCUGCAUAGUAGUAGAAAGCUAUUUAAUCCUUCUGAGUCUCAGUUUCCUUAUCCAUAAAACGAGGAUAACUCUGUUGUGGGCUGAAAUAUACCCUCUGCCACUCCAAAUUCAUAUGCUGAAUUCCUAACCCCCAGCAUCUCAGCAUUUGAUGUGUUCCGAGAUGGGGCCUUUAAAGAGCUCAUUAUGGUGAAAGGCCCCCAAGCCAGUUCGUCCGGUGUCGUUAUAAGAAGGGAGAUUAGGGCACAGAAGGCGCAGGCAGAAGAGGAUAUUUAGACACAAGGAGGAGAAUUCGGCAUCUGUGAGCCAAGGAGAGGGCCCUCGGAAGAGACCAGCCCAGCUGACACCUUGAUCUUGGACUUCUAGUCUCCAGAACAAUGAGAAAUAAAUUUCUGUUGUUUAUUCAUUGAUUUUGUUUGGGGUCUUAGUGCAGAAGGCUGUUACCUCCACCGGAUCUGUGCAUGGUCUGCCCAUAUUUGUUUCUUCUUCUCAUUUCCAUACCUAGAGUGACGACCAUAUAUGUUUAUCAUACAAACAGGAACACUUUUGAGCAGAAAAAGAAGCACUUUAAUAACUGCUAUGCUGGGAGCUCAGGUGUAAACCAGGACACACGGUUCUUGCCCACUUCCCUGUCUGUUCCCGUGUCCUUCUAACAACCAUUCUAUUUUGUUUAAUUUGUGUGUCUUUUUGUUAGGGCUGCACCCGCAGCAUAUGGAGAUUCCCAGGCUAGGGAUGGA